GAUGAACGCUGACAGAAUGCUUAACACAUGCAAGUCAACUUGAACUUCGGUUUGGGUGGCGGACGGGUGAGUAACGCGUAAAGAACUUGCCUCACAGAUAGGGACAACAUUUGGAAACGAAUGCUAAUACCUGAUAUUAUGAUUAUAUGGCAUCGUAUAAUUAUGAAAGCUAUAUGCGCUGUGAGAGAGCUUUGCGUCCCAUUAGCUAGUUGGAGAGGUAACGGCUCACCAGGGCGAUGAUGGGUAGCCGGCCUGAGAGGGUGAUCGGCCACAAGGGGACUGAGACACGGCCCUUACUCCUACGGGAGGCAGCAGUGGGGAAUAUUGGACAAUGGACCAAGAGUCUGAUCCAGCAAUUCUGUGUGCACGAUGAAGUUUUUCGGAAUGUAAAGUGCUUUCAGUUGGGAAGAAAAAAAUGACGGUACCAACAGAAGAAGUGACGGCUAAAUACGUG
rnacentral:rRNA from 1 species